ACAGAAGCCACGAAAAUCAGACAGAAAGAGUGGGGGAUAUGUACCAGCCUAUAGAUCUGGUCCUUACGACCUCAUCGUCACCCUCUACAAGGCCACCAUUGGCCAAAUCUUCAGCUGCAGAAGCAGAGCACAGAAAGUCUUUCAGCAGACAGAAGUCUCUAUGCUAGACACCACUGCCAGUUAACUGAUAAAUAAAAGCACAAGCAACUCACAUUCAAAUCGUCUUCUCAACAAACACAUGUUUUCAAGUACAGGAACACUCAACCCCUGCUUUCAGUUGAAGAGGACGCAGCUUAUUGUGAAUAUUGUGUGACCUUUCAUGGCAACAAAACAUGUGGGAAACUAGUGUUGAAACCUUUCCAAAAUUUAGAAAUAGCCUUGGAAUUACUGAAGGACAAUUUCAAACCUUAUGUAAAUAAACAUGCAGAGGAAUGUAAGCCAAAGCAGGCUACCAUGCACAUAGUGAUUUAAGAACAUUCUUACUACACAUAUCUACCAGUAAGCCACAGCAGGCUAUCAUUCUAAUAGUGAUUCAAGAACAUUCUUACUACACAUAUCUACAGGUAAUCCACAACAGGCUUUCAUCCACAUAGUGAUUCAAGAACAUUCUUACUACACAUAUCUACCGGUAAGCCACAGCAGGCUAUCAUGCUUAUAGUGAUUCAAGAACAUUCUUACUACACAUAUCUACAGGUAAUCCACAGCAGGCUUUCAUGCACAUAGUGAUUCAAGAACCUUCUUACUACACAUAUCUUCCGGUAAGCCACAGCAGGCUUUCAUGCUUAUAGUGAUUCAAGAACAUUCUUACUACACAUAUCUACAGGUAAUCCACAACAGGCUUUCAUCCACAUAGUGAUUCAAGAACAUUCUUACUACACAUAUCUACCGGUAAGCCACAACAGGCUAUCAUGCUUAUAGUGAUUCAAGAACAUUCUUACUACACAUAUCUACCGGUAAGCCACAGCAGGCUAUCAUGCACAUAGUGAUUCACGACCUUUCUUACUACACAUAUCUACCGGUAAGCCACAUCAGGCUACCAGGCACAUAGUGAUUCAAGAACAGUCUUACUACACAUAUCUACCGUUAAGCCACAGCAGUCUACCAGGCACAUCGUGAUUCAAGAACAUUCUUACUACACAUAUCUACAGGUAAUCCACAGCAGGCUGUCAUGCACAUAGUGAUUCAAGAACAUUCUUACUACACACAUCUACCGGUAAGCCACAGCAGGCUAUCAUGCUUAUAGUGAUUCGAGAACGUUCUUACUACACAUACAGGGUGAUCCAUAAUAUCUGAUACCAUUUUGGGGUCGUGUAAAUUCUACAUAUAUCACAUGAUUUUGAAUAUCAACACUGAAAUAAAAACUAGACAUGUCCAAGUUUUCAUGAUCUUAAAAUUGUGCAUAUGAAGCAAGAAACGACAAUGACACUCACAGACCAAGUUUUACAUCAAAUGUUCGAUGUGACGUCCGUUUUGUGCUAUAACGACAUCAAGUCGUUUUUAUAAAUUUUCAAUAACAUUGGCGCACGUUGCUUGCGUGAUUUUCUUCAUUUCUCGGAAAGUGGCUGACUUCAGCUGCUCAAUUGUAUCUGGCUUAGGGAUAUAGACAUUGUCCUUCAAGUGUCCUCACAGAAAAAAAUCCAACAGACUGCGUUCUGGGGAGUGUGGAGGCCAUACUUUAUCUGUUUUAUAUGAAAUUAAUUUACUACCAAAUGCUUCUCUCAAACAUUCCAAAACGUGUCCUGCAGUAUGUGGUGCAGCUCCAUCUUGCUGAAACCAUAAUAGUUAAUGUCAAUUCCUUUUUUUCACAAGGCAGGAAGAAUUUUUUUCUUAAAGAGAUAUCGGGCACUAUUUACUGUUGUGGUUUCACCUUCUGAUUCGGAAAAAAGGUCCAAUCACACCGGUCAAACUCAGUGCUGCCCAUACUGUCACCUUUUCAUCAUGAACAGGCUUUUCUAAAUAGAAAUGUGGUUUCUCCUUACUCCAUACUCUACUGUUCUGUUUGUAAGGAGUGUUAUUAAGAUAAAAAUGUGAUUCAUUUGAAAAUCAUACUUUAUCCACCAAUUUAUCAACCAUCCAUUUAUCAAACUCUAGUCUGCUGUUUAUGUCUGUUUCUUUCAAAUGUUGCAUUGUUUCUUUCAAAUGUUGUCUGUUUCUUUCAAAUGUUGCACUAUAGACACCGAAUAAGGAUACAAUUUCAAAUUGAAACGCAGCGCUCUGUUAACACUUCCAUAACUAGACUUACUGUUGAUAUCUCCUAGAACCUUUCUAACUGACUUCUAUGGUGUCUCCUGAAUCACCUCAAGGAUCUAUCGGUAAGCCGUUCCUUGGUGUGAACAAGAAGAAUGCACAAUUGACUUAUUAGAUUGAUGCUGCUCUAGGGGCCCAGGUUCAGAAAAACACGUGCAUGCCAAAAACACUUGGCAUUUUAUUUUUUCAAAUGUUGUUUUCUUCAUCAAACAUCAUACCACUUUGCACGAGUAAGGGAAAAACAAUCAACAACUGAAAGAUAGUAAUAUAUAUAUUUAAGCUGUGUUCACUUUUGUUUCUUUCUUAUUUUCUUAAAAAUAAUGGUAUAAACAGUAAAUAAGU